GCUGCAGUGGGGACCCAAAGUCUGGGGGCUAAAUGGACAGAUUUAUAUUUUAUAUUAUUAACUAUGAAUCCUGCAGCUACAAGCAUUGGUGAUACAGGCUCUUGGAGUUGGAAUGGUGUGCUGUCUGCUGGGGUAGAUCUCUGAGUACUGCUCUCAGAUCUGCAGUAUGGUGCGUGUCAGCCAGAAGGUUCAAGCUGAGAUCACGUGCACCCUGCUUCUUCUUGGGGAUGCUUCUGGCCACCUUCUUUCCUAGGGCCAUGCAGUUCUUCCCCUCAUAAUAAGGUGACCUUGGAGGAAGGUCCAGAGGGGACAGGUGGCUGUAGUCAUGCCCAGGUGGCCCUCUGAGUGGUCAGUGAGGAUCAGGACACCUCAACUGCUCACACAGCAGAAAACAGUUCCAGCUGGCUGCUUUCCCAAGGCAACUCCACAGCAUCCACACCUUCAACUGAGCACACGCUACAUAACAGGCACAGAACAUUCCAAUGAGCAAGACGACCCUACUGAGGAUGAAUAUGUUGGCUGUAUGGCCAUGCAGUGCCAGAGAGUUUCUGUGCCAUAGAACCUGUUUGAGCUACUUUCAAGGAAAAAUGUACCUUUCUGAAGGAGAAAGGUGACAUAAGAUGUUCUCACCUAUGCGUGUGCAUGCCCACCUUAUAGCAGAUUCCUGCAAACAGUUGUGCAGAGCUGGCAGAGAAGGGGUGAACUGUGGUGCAGGAUCAAGCAGCCAGAGCACUGAAUUCACAGCCAAAAAAACCCAACAUGUCUACGUUUAGAAAUGAGAAAUGCACCCUGGCUUCUCUGCUUGCGGAACCCAAUUGCAGUGGUUCUCAAGUAGAACAUCUGCUGCCAUCAGCCCGGAGCAAGUCGAGGGCAGAAGCCUGACAUCCCCUUCCUCCCCGUUAGGAGCUGCUCGGGAAAGGGUACAAGAGCGCGGUAUGCGUGGAGUGAUAUUUUCCCAGAGCAACCUUUUAGCCUCAAGCCAUCUGAAGUUCCCAGGCUUCCUGAACCGAAGAUGGAAUCUCGGCAGCGAGGAAAUAAUUCCAAGCGUUUCCGUGCCGUCAUCCCUGGAGCCGCCGCCAGAGGGCGCUCGUAGCCCACCGCGGCACCGGCGGCGCUGCGCAGGCUGGCUGUGGGGCGCGCAGAUAGCCGCCUCGAUGUGUCACCUCCUCUUAGGUGUCGCACCACGAGCGGGUAUUAAAAGGGGCUGACAGUGCUGGGAAGGGUGAGCUGGCCACGUCCACGGCCUCAAUCCUCGGCUGCUGGGAGCUGGCAUCACAGAGAAGCGCAGACAGCAGCCUGGGAUGUUAUCAGCCCUGCGUGUGAUUGCCUUUGCUUUCCUGGGUGCUGCUUUUUGGGAGUUCCCGUCUAGCCCAGCACUGAAAAGCCCUCUCCUUUUACAAGCAAGGGAGAGACGGUGAGAAGGAAACCCCCCAAAGAAAGAACUUUGUGGAAAAAGCCCUACCUGAGCUCUGGGUUACAAUGAGAUAAAAGCAGGCAGGGAGAGGCAAGUUCCCCUUCAGAUGCCUGGGACCUGGGCCUUGCACUGAGCUCCUGUGCCAGGGCUGUGCUGUGUCCCCAGCUGCAGGGCCAGCACUGACCCCCCCCCCCCCCCCCCCAGGAUGCACCCAGCUCACACACUGCUCCCUUCAGCCUGAUCUUUCAUUUCAUUGUUCACGUUGCACCUAAAGCCUCAAAAAUGAUGGGGGGAGGAAUCUGGUUCACAUUGGUUUUUCUUCCCCUUUGUCACUUCUGCUGGGUGUCAGCCUGGCUCAGGUGGCCUCAGAGAUAAAUGCCACCAUGCACCUCACAGCCAGCAGUGCAGAAUUGCCUGCAAUGCAUUUGCCAGCAUCAAAGCCUUCUAAGAACUAUGUUAAAAUAUAACAUUUCCUUACUUUUUUGUUGUUGUUGUUGUUCAUUAAUGACACUAAUUGGUUGUCCCAGUUGUGCAGAUCCCACCGGGGCAGGAGGUGUUCUGAUUAUUCCCUUUGUUUACGGUAUUAGACUUCGACUAUUGUUGGUCUCAUUGUUCUUAUUUGCAGCAUGUUUGCCUCACCAGGACAGUAAUUGUGUCAGGCAAGUUGGAGACCAAUCUGUGGAGCUGAACGCUCGGAACUGUGAGAGAAAGGCUCCAAUUUCUCAAGCAGCGGGCGCAUUACUCCUCCACUUGAGUUAUUAAAUUCUAAUUAUAGCCUGUUGAUCCAGUUACAAUGUUGUUUGUAAAUCUAAAUACAGUUCUCCAAAGCCUGUUUCUUAACCUGUUGAUACUUGGUUAAA